AACUUUUAAAACAAAAUGACAAAGAACACUCGAUAAAAACAGUAAAAACACGAUCAAGUUUAUAAAUUCCAGCUUAACAGAACCAGAUGCAGAUCU